AUGUGCGAGUAUACUGAUAGUGUCGAUGACCCACUCCGACACACUAAAAUCCAGCUCCCUGAUGACGAAGUCACAGAAUCUGUGAAAAAGAUGCUGAAUGAACCGGAGCACCUCUGUGCUCAAACCGGUCUGCCUCCUUACUGCACCACCAACAAACCACCAGCGGGUGAUAAUCCAUUUUGGAGCAAGAAACUUCCUCAAGACAAAACGGAAAAGGCAGGACGGCCAACCCGGCUCAAGACCAAGGUUAUCAAGAAGCCAGCUCAUAAGAGAAAAACCACCGCUUCAUCUGACCCAGCCAUUGAUGAUGAUGUGGGUAAUCCGGAUCUUGAGGAUGACGCUGAAGCCAGCAAUGCGGGUUUUGUUGAGACCCAACAACAUGAAGCUCGCCGCACAACCCGGCACAGUGGCCAGGUAGUUACCUCUGCCGGUUUACCAAACAGUCCGGUUCGAAAACGCCGCUCCGAGGUCACUUCUCAUUCAUCGUCUGGUGAAUCAUCGGCCACCCAGCUACCACCUUUGAAAACAGUUGCUGGGGCUAAACCGAAACCAAGCAAGAAGGCCCGCCUGGAUAGAGCGGCUGAAGAAGAUGUGGCCCCAGAACAUGACCAAGCACCUGAUCAUGAAGUGUUUACUUGUGAAGAUAUCCCCAAUGAUCCUCCUCUGCAAGACGACGUUAUCCCUGAAGAAGGUCCUAUUCAUAUUCCAGCCUCUGCUGAUCCGCCUGCUAGCUCUGUCCAGAUUGAGAAAUCCCACACUCCUGCUGACAAACCGGCCGCACCAACCCAAACCGGCGAGUCAAAAGAUGAUGAUGUUGUGAUUACCGGCGUAGGCUGCUCUGAACCUGGGAAUCCUGCCACCCUUACCAGGCAUACCAUCAAAGAGGAUUCUUCCCCUUUGAACAAAGGAAAAUGA
rnacentral:rRNA from 1 species